rnacentral:lncRNA from 10 species
GUGACAAGGUAAACACAUAAGAUUUCAUAACAUGUGAUAAGUGCAACAAUGGAAAUAUUUACAAGGCGCAAAGAUUGCACAGAGGAGGAAGUAAAUCCCAUUCUCGGGGAAGAGAAGGGAAGGCUUUUGCUAGGAAGCAACACAUGAAUUUGGUUUCAAAAGAGGGAAGGAAUAGGUGGAUAGGAGUCUACCAGAUUAGUGCAUGAAAUGGACAGGAAGAUGAGCCAAGGAUAAGGAAUUCCAAGGAAGAAGACUCGGCCUCUGGAGUGGACAGACUGUGCCACAGGGGAAGAGAGCUGGCCUAAACAAAAGAAAAAAGAGAGAGCCGAAGAUGGUACAUCUUUAUUCCAUAGGAAGAAAAUGGGAGUGGCACACAGUGCUACAUUGUUCAGAGAUGGGAAAAUUGCACCCAGUGGGGACUACAGGGAGAGGUAUCACAUAAGAGAUGAUAUUUGAGUGAGGCACUGAAGAAUGAGGCAGGAGCAAGGGCGGAGGGAAAGUAACUCCAGAACGGCCAGUGAUUGAGCAGACCAGAGAAGGAGGAAAAUGUCAAACCAAAGAAAGAGAAGCCAGAACACGUUUGUGGGAGCAGAGUCUGAGUGUGAAACAAGGACAAGGCAACACUGGCUGCAACCAGGCGAUAGAGGGCUGGGCUAAGGAAUGCAGCCCAGAUUCAGAAAGAAGGGAGAUCCACUAACGUUUCUGCAUUUCGGCAGAGGAAGCUGUGAUCAAAGAACUUCCCCAGGGCGAUACUCUGGCUGCCUGGGUCAGGGUGGAGCAGAAAGCUCAGUCAAGGUAAUGCAAUGGGAGCCGGGGCAAUAGUCCAGGUGUGAGGCUGCGAGGCCUGAGCUGCAGAGGCGGCCCGCAGACAGAGAGAAAGGUAUGCCCCAAGGAAUAUCGUGAACAGGACUCCGUGACAGGCGAGAGGGAGCUGUCAAUGUUCAUGCCAAGGGUUCCAUGACUUCAAGAAUGCCUGUGCUAUUAACAGAAAUAGCAAAGUCAAGACAAAAACAUGGGUUUUUUUUUCUUUUUGUAGCUUUUGAUUAUUGUAUACACAAAAAGUGUUUGUUGAAGAAAAAUCUGAAAACAUAUUAAGGGAAAUAAAAAUAAAUGACCAUAAUGUCAUUGCUACUA